GAUGAACGCUGGCGGUAUGCCUAACACAUGCAAGUCGAACGAGAAUUAAUCCCGGUUAUUCUAGUGGCGGACGGGUGAGUAACACGUGAGAAUUCGCCUUUAGGAGGGGGAUAACGGAUGGAAACAUUCGCUAAAACCCCAUAUGCCCUCGGGUGAAAAAGAGAAAGUAAGUCAUACUGAUUUAUCUCUGCCUGAAGAGAAGCUCGCGGCUGAUUAGCUAGUUGGUAGGGUAAAGGCCUACCAAGGCGACGAUCAGUAGCUGGUCUGAGAGGACGAUCAGCCACACUGGAACUGAGACACGGUCCAGACUCCUACGGGAGGCAGCAGUGAGGAAUUUUCUGCAAUGGGCGAAAGCCUGACAGAGCAAUACCGCGUGGGGGAUGAAGACUUACUGAGUUGUAAACCUCGGUACCCUAAGGAAGAAGAUAUGACGGUACUUAGGGUGGAAAGCAUCGGCUAACUCCGUGCCAGCAGCCGCGGUAAGACGGGGGAUGCAAGUGUUAUCCGGAUUUACUGGGCGUAAAGCGUCUGCAGGUGGUUUCUUAAGUCUACUGUUAAAUCUUGAGGCUCAACCUCAAAUCUGCAGUAGAAACUAGGAGACUUGAGUAUAGUAGGGGUAGAGGGAAUUUCCAGUGGAGCGGUGAAAUGCGUAGAUAUUGGAAAGAACACCGAUGGCGAAGGCACUCUACUGGGCUAUUACUGACACUCAGAGACGAGAGCUAGGGGAGCAAAUGGGAUUAGAUACCCCAGUAGUCCUAGCCGUAAACGAUGGAUACUCGAUGUUGGACGUAUCGACCCGUUCAGUAUCUUAGCUAACGCGUUAAGUAUCCCGCCUGGGGGAGUACCGCUCCGGCAAGAGUUGGAAACUUCCAAAAAGGAAUUGACGGGGGCCCGCACAAGCGGUGGAGGAUGUGGUUUAAUUCGAUGCAACGCGAAGAACCUUACCAGGGUUUGCUAGAAAGUGUUGGUUUUCUNGAAAAGGAUUCCUUAUUCCGCUUCUACAGGUGGUGCAUGGCUGUCGUCAGCUCGGUGUCGUGAGAUGUUGGGUUAAGUCCCGCAACGAGCGCAACCCUUAUUUUUAGUU
rnacentral:rRNA from 1 species